AUCAUUCAGACACCAUCCCGAGCUGGGAUCCACUACGGCUAACCACUUUAAAACACUCCAAGGGAACAUUGGAAUCCAAUUUCUAAGUAAAGCUGUUGUCCGCUUAAACACCAGUAACUUCCUCAAAUGCCUGAAUUUGUAAGUUUAUCAAUUGACUGGCAUACAUUUCAUCAAUUAAAUAACUCACAUAUCUUCCUGUACAUUAUCUUAAGAGAGGUCAUUCCUCAAAACCACCCAUCGUUCUGUGCCUCUCUCGGGUGACUUUUCUGCGAUCCCCUGGACUCUUUCAACCACGGUUUCAGAGACAGGAAACACAGAAACAUUGUAGAGGAGAUAUCAAAAUAGGCUCACUAAAACAAGGGGAGCAUAUCAGAAAUUUGGAAAAUCCAAAGCCCAUCUACUUGCAACGUUGCCCUGGCAACCGCCUGCCUCGCCAAAGUUGUACAGCCCUGGUCUGCCCAAAUCCACUACUCUGAACGUGGGAGUCACCUAAAGCAAGGGUUCUCAACCUUGGCAACUUUAAGACUUGUGGACUUCAAUUCCCACCUGUACAGCGGCUCCUACCAAACCAUUAAGAUCUGGGACAUCCGGAACCUAGAAUGUGUGCAUGUGCUACAGACGUCUGGGGGCAGCGUCUACUCCAUUGCGGUUACCAACCAUCACAUCGUCUGUGGCACCUACGAAAAUCUCAUUCACGUGUGGGAUAUUGAGUCGAAAGAGCAGGUUCGCACCCUCACGGGACACGUGGGCACUGUGUACGCUCUGGCAGUCAUCUCUACGCCGGAUCAAACCAAAGUCUUCAGCGCCUCGUAUGAUCGGUCGUUGCGGGUACGUAAGGCACAGCAAGUUGUUGGUUCAAGGCGAGGGGCGCAGAAGAAGACCAUGGGAAAAAGGGGGAGGUGGCAAUGGGAGGGAUCCUAACAGAUCUUUCAAAGUCUAUUAAUUUGAUGAAGUUGAACUUUUAGGAAGCAGGCAGCUGGGCUCCUGAUCCCUGAAUAGCUGUAUGGUCAUCCCAACCCAAGGUCUCGUCAGCUGCCUGGCUCCAC